rnacentral:tmRNA from 1 species
GGGGGUGUAAAGGUUUCGACGGGGAUAUAGAACCGAGAAAAGCGAGCCGUAGUCGCCAAGUCUACGUUAAAAGUGGCACGUUAAAGAUAAACGGAAAAACUAACAACAACUACGCAUUAGCAGCUUAGUCUGCCCGCGUCGUCGGCCCCGAUUCACCUGUAGAUCGGGAAUCCGGCGUCGACAUACAGGAAAACUUCGCGUGACCUCCCGGCAUCGCGAGGGACUUACGGGAUAGC